UUAUGGACGGGCUUAUGUGCCAGGUAAAUGGUAAAGAUAGUUACGUCUGAGUUUGAAGAAGAAAAAGAAAUCGAAAGAAUGGCGAUAAUGAGAGGGGAGCCGUUGGUGGCGAAGCUGGCAGCGGUGGCUAAGUACGUGCCUCUUCCAGGAGCCAUGGUUGCUGCUCUCGUCUUUUCACCUCCUCAAUAUGAAUCCCCUUCCAAGUCGGAUAAAUCUCCCAAAUAGGAUCAUCUUCGAAAAAUUCUUUGGAUUCCGUUGUUAAAUGUAUAUGCUCUUUUUGAUAUAAUGGGGUAUGUGAUAACUACCUUAUUAUAAAUAAGGGCUAUGCUAUGUAGGUAUGUGGAGUUAAUGUUUGCCUUUUUCCAUAAAAAAACUGAGUUGUGAAUGUUGAUUGUUUUUCUUUAUAUGUGUAACAAAAUUUUUUGAAAAUAAAAUGCUAUUCUGCAAGUUAACGGUUGCCCAUUUAUUGUACUGUGAAUUGUAUAAAAAUUUGAGUGCAUUUGAAUUACUUGUGUAA